GCGCCUUUAAAGCACCGCGUAGCGUCCUGAGUCGCGACUGCGGUUUUGCAGCGGUGCCAGAGUGACCUGCGGGUGUCGGAACUGGGCUAGCUGCUACUCAACCCGUGCGGCAUGCCCCUUUCUCCACUCGCCACAACC
rnacentral:snoRNA from 1 species